AGGGUUCGAUUAUGGCUCAGGAUGAACGCUGGCGGCAUGCUUUACACAUGCAAGUUGAACGAAUUAAAGUUUUCGAAUUUUAGUUAAGUAGCGAACGGGUGAGUAAAACGUAAGAAUCUAUUUUUAGGUGAGGAAUAACUAAUGGAAACGUUAGCUAAUACCUUAUAAACUGAGAAGUGAAAAACUAAAAAUUGCCUAAAAGUGAGCUUGCGCCUGAUUAGCUUGUUGGUAAGAUAAUUCGGCUUACCCAAAGCGAGCGAAUCAGUAGUUGAUCUAAGAGGAUAAUCAACCACACUGGGACUGAGAUACGGCCCAGACCUCUACGGAAGGCAGCAGUGAGGAAUUUCCCGCAAUGGGCGAAAGCCUGAACGGAGCAAUGCCGCGUGAAGGAUGAAGGCCUAUGGGUCGUAAACUUCUUUUCCUAAUGAAGAAAUAAGACGGUAAUUAAGGAAUAAGCAUUGGCUAACUCCGUGCCAGCAGCCGCGGUAAUACGGAGGAUGCAAGCGUUAUCCGGAAUUAUUGGGCGUAAAGGGUUUGUAGGCUACUUUUUAAGUCUACUGUUAAAGAAUAAGACUUAACCUUAGAAAAGCAGUAUGAAACUAAAAGGAUAGAGUUCAGUAGGGGUAGAGGGAAUUCUCGGUGUAGUAGUGAAAUGCGUAGAUAUCGAGAGGAACACCAAUAGCGAAAGCACUCUACUAGGCUGUAACUGACGCUAAGAAACGAAAGCUAGGGGAGCCAAUGGGAUUAGAUACCCCAGUAGUCCUAGCUGUAAACGAUGGAUACUAAGUAUUGGAUAAUAAAAAAUUCAGUGCUGUAGCUAACGCGUUAAGUAUCCCGCCUGGGGAGUAUGCCCGCAAGGGUGAAACUCAAAGGAAUUGACGGGGGCCCGCACAAGCGGUGGAGCAUGUGGUUUAAUUCGAUGCAACGCGAAAAACCUUACCAGGAUUUGACAUCCCAUAUUUUUUUUUCUAGAAAUAGAAAAAUUGACGUGGAGACAGGUGGUGGCAUGGCUGUCGUCAGCUCGUGUUCGUGAGAUGUUGGGUUAAGUCCCGUAACGAGCGCAACCCUUGUCUUUAGUCCGAUAGUCUAAAGAAACUGCCGAUAAUAAAUUCGGAGGAAGGUGAGGGAUGGACGUCAAGUCAGCAUGCCCCUUAUAUUUCUGGGCGACACCACGUGGCUACAAUGGUUAAGACAAUGGGAUGCAAACUUGUAAAAGGGAGCCUAACCUCAAAAACUUAUUAUCGAAGUCCGAAAUAGUGUUCAACUGAAACUCGUCGACAUGAAGCUGGAAUCGCUAGUAAUCGCCGGUCAGCCACACGGCGGUGGAUACGUUCUCGGGCCUUGUACACACCGCCCGUCACGUUAGGGAAGCUGAUUACGCCCGAAGUCAUUAAUUUAACCUUUUGGAGAAAAAUGCCGAAGGCAGAGUGAGUAACUAGAACGAAGUCGUAACAAGGUAACC
rnacentral:rRNA from 1 species